rnacentral:rRNA from 1 species
AACAAACGCUGGCGGCGUGCAUAACACAUGCAAGUCUAACGGGAAUGUCGGCUUCGGCUGGCUAGUACCGCGGCGAACGGGUGAGUAACACGUGGGUAAUCUGACCUCGGGUCUGGGAUAACCUUGCGAAAGCGGGGCUAAUACCGGAUAAGACCACGCCUUGCACGCAGGGCGCGGUAAAAGGUGGCCUCUUCCUGAAAGCUAUCUCCUGAGGAUGAGCCCGCGGCCUAUUAGCUAGUUGGUAGGGUAACGGCCUACCAAGGCGACGAUGGGUAGCCGGCCUGAGAGGGUGUACGGCCACACUGGCACUGAGAUACGGGCCAGACUCCUACGGGAGGCAGCAGUGGGGAAUUUUGCGCAAUGGGGGAAACCCUGACGCAGCAACGCCGCGCGAGUGAUGAAGGCCUUCGGGUCGUAAAGCUCUUUUAGUGGGGAAGAAGCCCACCCGGACGAAUACUCCGGGUGUCUGACGGUACCCACAGAAAAAGUUCCGGCUAACUACGUGCCAGCCGCCGCUGUAAUAC